rnacentral:rRNA from 1 species
UUAUUGGAGAGUUUGAUCCUGGCUCAGGAUGAACGCUGGCGGCGUGCCUAAUACAUGCAAGUCGAGCGAAUGGAUUAAGAGCUUGCUCUUAUGAAGUUAGCGGCGGACGGGUGAGUAACACGUGGGUAACCUGCCCAUAAGACUGGGAUAACUCCGGGAAACCGGGGCUAAUACCGGAUAACAUUUUGAACCGCAUGGUUCGAAAUUGAAAGGCGGCUUCGUCUGU